AUUGAACGCUGGCGGCAUGCUUUACACAUGCAAGUCGAACGGUAACAGGCCUUCGGGUGCUGACGAGUGGCGAACGGGUGAGUAAUGCAUCGGAACGUACCCAGAGGUGGGGGAUAACGCAGCGAAAGCUGUGCUAAUACCGCAUGUGAUCUGAGGAUGAAAGCGGGGGACCGAGCAGCAAUGUUUGGCCUCGCGCCUUUGGAGCGGCCGAUGUCGGAUUAGCUAGUUGGUGGGGUAAAGGCCUACCAAGGCGACGAUCCGUAGCUGGUCUGAGAGUACGACCAGCCACACUGGGACUGAGACACGGCCCAGACUCCUACGGGAGGCAGCAGUGGGGAAUUUUGGACAAUGGGCGCAAGCCUGAUCCAGCAAUGCCGCGUGCGGGAAGAAGGCCUUCGGGUUGUAAACCGCUUUUGGCAGGAACGAAACGGUGUCCGCUAAUACCGGGCGCUAAUGACGGUACCUGCAGAAUAAGCACCGGCUAACUACGUG
rnacentral:rRNA from 1 species